rnacentral:rRNA from 1 species
NNNNNNNNNNNNNNNNNNNNNNNNNNNNNNNNNNNNNNNNNNNNNNNNNNNNNNGCUAAACCAUUCUAAAAACUUAGUAAAGGAGAUUAAAAAGUUAAAAGGAGCUAUAAAACUAGUACCGCAAGGGAAAGAUGAAAUAAAAAGUGAAAUAAAAUUAAGUAAGAAAAAGUAGAGACUCGCCCUCGUACCUUUUGCAUCAUGGUUUAACUAGUCCAACCAAGCAAAAAGAAUUUAAGUUUGACUUCCCGAAACUAGGUGAGCUACUUCAAGGCAGCUUACUGAGCCAACCCGUCUCUGUUGCAAAAGAGUGGGGAGACCUUCAAGUAGGGGUGACAGACCUACCGAGCCUAGUGAUAGCUGGUUAUUCAAGAAAAGAAUAUUAGUUCCGCUAAAAAUUGUCUAAAUUAUUACAAAUUAUAAUUAAAUUUUUAAGUAACUCAAAUAAGGUACAGCCUAUUUGAAACAGGGUACAACCUUAACUAAUGGGUAACCUCUACCAACAAUAUACCCAAGUGGGCCUAAUAGCAGCCAACUUUAAAAAAGCGUCAAAUCUUAUUUAUAUUAUACUCUAAUCUCUAAACAAAUUAAAAACCCUUUACUCGUAUUGAAUACUUCUAUACACCCUAUAGAACUUUUUAUGUUAAAACUAGUAACAAGAAGAAGAACUUCUCUUUAAUGUAAACGUAAGACGGCCAGGACACCCCACCGACAAUUAACGCCUAUGAACUUUUAGUAGAAACAUUACAAGAAAAAUCUACUGUUACCCACGUUAACCUUACACAAGAGCAUCUCAAGAAAGAUUAAAAGAAAAGGAAGGAACUCGGCAAAUCCUAACCUCGCCUGUUUACCAAAAACAUCGCCUCUUGCUAAUCAUAAGAGGUCUAGCCUGCCCAGUGACCCAGUUCAACGGCCGCGGUAUCCUAACCGUGCGAAGGUAGCGUAAUCACUUGUUCUUUAAAUGAGGACUAGUAUGAAUGGCAUCACGAGGGUUAAACUGUCUCCCUUUUUCAAUCAGUGAAACUAAUCUCCCCGUGAAGAAGCGAGGAUAAAUUUAUAAGACGAGAAGACCCUAUGGAGCUUUAAACUAAGCAACAAUUGUUCCUAAAUUUUAUUGUCCAGAACAUUAACCGCCAUCUUAACAAUGUGAUUGCUAGUUUUCGGUUGGGGUGACCGCGGAGUAUAAAUUAACCUCCACGAUGAAAGAAACUUUAUUUCUUAGCCCAGAGUUACAACUCGAAGCACCAAAAAUUUGACAUAAAUUGAUCCAACCUGCUUGAUCAACGAACCAAGUUACCCUAGGGAUAACAGCGCAAUCCACUUCAAGAGCCCCUAUCGACAAGUGGGUUUACGACCUCGAUGUUGGAUCAGGGUAUCCCAGUGGUGCAGCCGCUACUAAAGGUUCGUUUGUUCAACGAUAAA